rnacentral:rRNA from 1 species
GGGUUGUGAGGUUAAGCGACUAAGCGUACACGGUGGAUGCCCUGGCAGUCAGAGGCGAUGAAGGACGUGCUAAUCUGCGAUAAGCGUCGGUAAGGUGAUAUGAACCGUUAUAACCGGCGAUUUCCGAAUGGGGAAACCCAGUGUGAUUCGUCACACUAUCAUUAACUGAAUCCAUAGGUUAAUGAGGCGAACCGGGGGAACUGAAACAUCUAAGUACCCCGAGGAAAAGAAAUCAACCGAGAUUCCCCCAGUAGCGGCGAGCGAACGGGGAGCAGCCCAGAGCCUGAAUCAGUGUGUGUGUUAGUGGAAGCGUCUGGAAAGGCGCGCGAUACAGGGUGACAGCCCCGUACACAAAAAUGCACAUGCUGUGAGCUCGAUGAGUAGGGCGGGACACGUGGUAUCCUGUCUGAAUAUGGGGGGACCAUCCUCCAAGGCUAAAUACUCCUGACUGACCGAUAGUGAACCAGUACCGUGAGGGAAAGGCGAAAAGAACCCCGGCGAGGGGAGUGAAAAAGAACCUGAAACCGUGUACGUACAAGCAGUGGGAGCACGCUUAGGCGUGUGACUGCGUACCUUUUGUAUAAUGGGUCAGCGACUUAUAUUCUGUAGCAAGGUUAACCGAAUAGGGGAGCCGAAGGGAAACCGAGUCUUAACUGGGCGUUAAGUUGCAGGGUAUAGACCCGAAACCCGGUGAUCUAGCCAUGGGCAGGUUGAAGGUUGGGUAACACUAACUGGAGGACCGAACCGACUAAUGUUGAAAAAUUAGCGGAUGACUUGUGGCUGGGGGUGAAAGGCCAAUCAAACCGGGAGAUAGCUGGUUCUCCCCGAAAGCUAUUUAGGUAGCGCCUCGUGAAUUCAUCUCCGGGGGUAGAGCACUGUUUCGGCAAGGGGGUCAUCCCGACUUACCAACCCGAUGCAAACUGCGAAUACCGGAGAAUGUUAUCACGGGAGACACACGGCGGGUGCUAACGUCCGUCGUGAAGAGGGAAACAACCCAGACCGCCAGCUAAGGUCCCAAAGUCAUGGUUAAGUGGGAAACGAUGUGGGAAGGCCCAGACAGCCAGGAUGUUGGCUUAGAAGCAGCCAUCAUUUAAAGAAAGCGUAAUAGCUCACUGGUCGAGUCGGCCUGCGCGGAAGAUGUAACGGGGCUAAACCAUGCACCGAAGCUGCGGCAGCGACGCUUAUGCGUUGUUGGGUAGGGGAGCGUUCUGUAAGCCUGUGAAGGUGUACUGUGAGGUAUGCUGGAGGUAUCAGAAGUGCGAAUGCUGACAUAAGUAACGAUAAAGCGGGUGAAAAGCCCGCUCGCCGGAAGACCAAGGGUUCCUGUCCAACGUUAAUCGGGGCAGGGUGAGUCGACCCCUAAGGCGAGGCCGAAAGGCGUAGUCGAUGGGAAACAGGUUAAUAUUCCUGUACUUGGUGUUACUGCGAAGGGGGGACGGAGAAGGCUAUGUUGGCCGGGCGACGGUUGUCCCGGUUUAAGCGUGUAGGCUGGUUUUCCAGGCAAAUCCGGAAAAUCAAGGCUGAGGCGUGAUGACGAGGCACUACGGUGCUGAAGCAACAAAUGCCCUGCUUCCAGGAAAAGCCUCUAAGCAUCAGGUAACAUCAAAUCGUACCCCAAACCGACACAGGUGGUCAGGUAGAGAAUACCAAGGCGCUUGAGAGAACUCGGGUGAAGGAACUAGGCAAAAUGGUGCCGUAACUUCGGGAGAAGGCACGCUGAUAUGUAGGUGAAGCGACUUGCUCGUGGAGCUGAAAUCAGUCGAAGAUACCAGCUGGCUGCAACUGUUUAUUAAAAACACAGCACUGUGCAAACACGAAAGUGGACGUAUACGGUGUGACGCCUGCCCGGUGCCGGAAGGUUAAUUGAUGGGGUCAGCGCAAGCGAAGCUCUUGAUCGAAGCCCCGGUAAACGGCGGCCGUAACUAUAACGGUCCUAAGGUAGCGAAAUUCCUUGUCGGGUAAGUUCCGACCUGCACGAAUGGCGUAAUGAUGGCCAGGCUGUCUCCACCCGAGACUCAGUGAAAUUGAACUCGCUGUGAAGAUGCAGUGUACCCGCGGCAAGACGGAAAGACCCCGUGAACCUUUACUAUAGCUUGACACUGAACAUUGAGCCUUGAUG